AUCAGCUUGUUGGUGAGGUAAUGGCUCACCAAGGCGACGACGGGUAGCCGGCCUGAGAGGGUGACCGGCCACACUGGGACUGAGACACGUCCCAGACUCCUACGGGAGGCAGCAGUGGGGAAUAUUGCACAAUGGGCGCAAGCCUGAUGCAGCGACGCCGCGUGAGGGAUGACGGCCUUCGGGUUGUAAACCUCUUUCAGUAGGGAAGAAGCGAAAGUGACGGUACCUGCAGAAGAAGCACCGGCUAACUACGUGCCAGCAGCCGCGGUAAUACGUAGGGU
rnacentral:rRNA from 1 species